rnacentral:rRNA from 1 species
UGCAGCGACGCCGCGUGAGGGAUGACGGCCUUCGGGUUGUAAACCUCUUUCAGCAGGGACGAAGCGCAAGUGACGGUACCUGCAGAAGAAGCACCGGCUAACUACGUGCCAGCAGCCGCGGUAAUACGUAGGGUGCAAGCGUUGUCCGGAAUUACUGGGCGUAAAGAGUUCGUAGGCGGUUUGUCGCGUCGUUUGUGAAAACCAGCAGCUCAACUGCUGGCUUGCAGGCGAUACGGGCAGACUUGAGUACUGCAGGGGAGACUGGAAUUCCUGGUGUAGCGGUGAAAUGCGCAGAUAUCAGGAGGAACACCGGUGGCGAAGGCGGGUCUCUGGGCAGUAACUGACGCUGAGGAACGAAAGCGUGGGUAGCGAACAGGAUUAGAUACCCUG